rnacentral:rRNA from 1 species
CAGUCGCCGCGGUAAUACGAAGGGGGCUAGCGUUACUCGGAAUUACUGGGCGUAAAGCGUGCGUAGGUGGUUGUUUAAGUCUGCUGUGAAAGCCCUGGGCUCAACCUGGGAAUUGCAGUGGAUACUGGGCGACUAGAGUAAGGUAGAGGAUAGUGGAAUUUCCGGUGUAGCAGUGAAAUGCGUAGAGAUCGGAAGGAACAUCUGUGGCGAAGGCGACUAUCUGGGCCAUUACUGACACUGAGGCACGAAAGCGUGGGGAGCAAACAGGAUUAGAUACCCCUGUAGUCCCUGUCUCUUAUAC